rnacentral:rRNA from 1 species
CACGUAGGGUGCGAGCGUUGUCCGGAAUUAUUGGGCGUAAAGAGCUCGUAGGCGGUGUGUCGCGUCGGCCGUGAAAACCUGCAGCUUAACUGUGGGCGUGCGGUCGAUACGGGCAUCACUGGAGUUCGGCAGGGGAGACUGGAAUUCCUGGUGGAGCGGUGAAAUGCGCAGAUAUCAGGAGGAACACCCGUAGCGAAGGCGGCACUCUGGGCCGAUACUGACACUGAGGAGCGAAAGCCAGGGGAGCAAACGGG